CAGUCGAACGGGGAUGCAUUAAGAAGGAGUGCUUGCAUUCCGGAAGGAUGUAUCUUAGUGGCGGACGGGUGAGUAACGCGUGGGUAACCUGCCCCAUACCGGGGGAUACCACCUGGAAACAGGUGCUAAUACCGCAUAAGCGCACGGAAGCGCAUGCUCCUGUGUGAAGAACUCCGGUGGUAUGGGAUGGACCCGCGUCUGAUUAGCCAGUUGGCAGGGUAACGGCCUACCAAAGCGACGAUCAGUAGCCGGCCUGAGAGGGUGGACGGCCACAUUGGGACUGAGACACGGCCCAAACUCCUACGGGAGGCAGCAGUGGGGAAUAUUGCACAAUGGGGGAAACCCUGAUGCAGCGACGCCGCGUGAGUGAAGAAGUAUCUCGGUACGUAAAGCUCUAUCAGCAGGGAAGAAAAUGACGGUACCUGACUAAGAAGCCCCGGCUAACUACGUGCCAGCAGCCGCGGUAAUACGUAGGGGGCAAGCGUUAUCCGGAUUUACUGGGUGUAAAGGGAGCGUAGACGGCAGCACAAGUCUGGAGUGAAAUCCCGGGGCUUAACCCCGGAACUGCUUUGGAAACUGUGCGGCUGGAGUGCAGGAGGGGUAAGCGGAAUUCCUAGUGUAGCGGUGAAAUGCGUAGAUAUUAGGAGGAACACCGGUGGCGAAGGCGGCUUACUGGACUGUAACUGACGUUGAGGCUCGAAAGCG
rnacentral:rRNA from 1 species